GCCCGCACAAGCGGUGGAGCAUGUGGUUUAAUUCGAUGCAACGCGAAGAACCUUACCUACUCUUGACAUCCAGAGAACUUUCCAGAGAUGGAUUGGUGCCUUCGGGAACUCUGAGACAGGUGCUGCAUGGCUGUCGUCAGCUCGUGUUGUGAAAUGUUGGGUUAAGUCCCGCAACGAGCGCAACCCUUAUCCUUUGUUGCCAGCGGUCNGGCCGGGAACUCAAAGGAGACUGCCAGUGAUAAACUGGAGGAAGGUGGGGAUGACGUCAAGUCAUCAUGGCCCUUACGAGUAGGGCUACACANUUGCUACAAUGGCGCAUACAAAGAGAAGCGACCUCGCGAGAGCAAGCGGACCUCAUAAAGUGCGUCGUAGUCCGGAUUGGAGUCUGCAACUCGACUCCAUGAAGUCGGAAUCGCUAGUAAUCGUAGAUCAGAAUGCUACGGUGAAUACGUUCCCGGGCCUUGUACACACCGCCCGUCACACCAUGGGAGUGGGUUGCAAAAGAAGUAGGUAGCUUAACUUAGNGGGAGGGCGCNGNCCAGGAACANANACAAGANNGGGGNGAAGGNGUAACA
rnacentral:rRNA from 1 species